ACCCUCUCAGGGUCACAACUGGAGAGUUUCCAGUACUUUACCAGUCUCGAUUAUGGGAGGGAGAGUCAAGCAGAGGCAUACCCAUUCCAUUCCUAGCUUGGCCACUGGCUAGCAAAUGGAAGACAAUCUGCUACAAGU
rnacentral:snoRNA from 1 species